ACCCCUCCCGGGAGCUUCCCAACGGACAGAAGGGAGAGAUCCCCUUGCCUGGAGACAUCUUCUGAAGACAUGGGAAAAGGAGACGAGGCGGGCUACUCCCUGGCAGCAGGCCUUCAAGCUGUUGACAACCAGUACCAAGAAGAGUGCCAGGAAGAUGGACCACCUUCUGUCUAGUUCUCGUGUCCCGCCAAGAAGAUGUAAAAUCUUUGCCACGUUCUCCUUUAUCCCAAGGUGGGAUGGCAGCAGCUCUCAUUUCCCCUUUCUGAGUUGCUGACUGCAAAUCUAGAAUGCCCUAUCCCCAUUCCUGGUCCUCCAACCAAGGUGAUCAUUUCCAGCCACAAAAGCUGACCAGAAGGUAGAGCAGGCUCUGCUGUCCCGCCCCAAACCUAAUCAGUGGAUGUCCUGUUUUUCACUGCAAUUUUAUUGUAAAGAGUAAGGGGAAUCCUUUUAUGUACCUAGGUUGGAAUACUUGUUAUAAAUGGAAAGCUAACACCAGCCAGAGUUUUAAACAAUAAUAAUAAUGAAGAUGCAACAUCA
rnacentral:lncRNA from 1 species